rnacentral:rRNA from 1 species
CACGCCCUAAACUAUGUCAACUGGUUGUUGGGAAUUCACUUUCUCAGUAACGAAGCUAACGCGUGAAGUUGACCGCCUGGGGAGUACGGCCGCAAGGUUAAAACUCAAAGGAAUUGACGG